CCUACGGGGGGCUGCAGUGGGGAAUAUUGGACAAUGGGCGAAAGCCUGAUCCAGCCAUGCCGCGUGUGUGAAGAAGGCCUUCGGGUUGUAAAGCACUUUCAGUGGGGAAGAAAGCCUUGGGGCUAAUACCCUCGAGGAAGGACAUCACCCACAGAAGAAGCACCGGCUAACUCCGUGCCAGCAGCCGCGGUAAUACGGAGGGUGCGAGCGUUAAUCGGAAUUACUGGGCGUAAAGCGCGCGUAGGCGGCCUGAUAAGCCAGUUGUGAAAGCCCCGGGCUCAACCUGGGAACGGCAUCCGGAACUGUCAGGCUAGAGUGCAGGAGAGGAAGGUAGAAUUCCCGGUGUAGCGGUGAAAUGCGUAGAGAUCGGGAGGAAUACCAGUGGCGAAGGCGGCCUUCUGGACUGACACUGACGCUGAGGUGCGAAAGCGUGGGUAGCAAACAGGAUUAGAUACCCGAGUAGUC
rnacentral:rRNA from 1 species